GCUCCCAUGGCAUAGUGCGGUCACUGCGCUCGCCUUGCACGCGGGAGACCCGGGUUCGAUUCCCGACGGGGUCA
rfam:Asian citrus Psyllid, Diaphorina citri - Florida Strain, whole genome shotgun sequence.